rnacentral:lncRNA from 1 species
GUUGUUUUUUUGUUUUUUUUUUUCCCUGUAUUCUGGAGAAGAGGAGGCUCAGAGGAGACCUUAUCACUCUCUACAGCUGUCUGAAAGGAGGCUGUAGCAAGGUGGGGGUCGGCCUCUUCUCCAGGGUCACUAGCGAUAUGAGGAGGUUCAGUUUGGAUAUAGGAAAAAUUUAUUCUCUGUAAGAGUAGUGAGGUAUUGGAACAGGCUGUCCAGGGAGGUGGUGGAAUCACCGUCCCUGGAGCUGUUCAAGAAAAGGGUAAAUGUGGCACUGAGGGACAUGGUUCAGUGGGCAUGGGGUUGAUGGGUUGAUAGUUGGACUAGAUGAUCUUAGUGGCCUUUUCCAACCGUAAUGAUUCCAUGAUUCUAUUAUUUUACAGGAUUUACCAUAACACUCUUGUACAAUUUGAUCUAACAUUCAGCAGAAUUAUUUCCCAAAUCUAGUUCUUUAUUUCUUCUACACACACAGUGUGUCAGUGCAGUAACAAGCUAGUCUUGCUGAAUGAUGAUGAGCAGAUAUAUCUUCAUCACAAACAUAGUGUCAUCAUGACCUGGAGUACUGACUACAAAGCCACAUUCCAUUACGCUGGAGCUGCAGAAAGAAUACAAAGAAAUGGAUGGCUGAUGGGCUCAAAGCAACUGACAGCAGCUGCUCAACUUCACCCUGGGCAAAACCAGAAAGGGGUUGUUGAGGAUGGUGAGAGGAGGAAGAAGGAAGAAAGAGAAGGCACAAAGCAUGAGUAGUGUCAUGCACUUGCAGCAAUCUCUGCAAUCCUGAAUCAGCCCUGUAUGCAUCCCUUGAAGAUACAGAUAUGGACACUGCAUGCAGUCCAACACACAGGUAAGAAUGGGAGGAAAGCGUUAAGAAACACAUAAACAAUGGCUAUGUGAAAGGCUGAAGAUUAAGUGCAAAUAACAGUCUAGACACCAAGUCAUGCCCUGAAAGCCCAUUCAUAACUUCUCACAUUAAACCAUCACUCUGUGUACCCCAAAAUGAGUAAGCCUGAGCAAAGCUUAUAAAAACCCUUGCCAGAACACAGGGACCAAGAAGGGUGUGGGUUAAUGUGUGCUACAUCCUCACCUGCAUCAGUCAGAGUAACUAGAACAAAGCCAAUGCAGCUGUGCCAGUUUACACCCACUUAAGCUAUGACCUGUUUAGACAUUUUUGGAAGGAGUCCAGUGAUAGAGUCUAGACAUCGUUAUUCAGAAAUAACUUCAUCUUUUCCUUUUCUACAGAAAGGAAGAGGAAAUGUAUGUCACAAAGCAACAUUUCAUGCAGAACAGCAGGGAAAGACUGGAUGGUAACCCAAUUAAAGGCAGAUCAGAAAUCUUUCAAAGCCAUUUAUAAAGUCACAUAAACUAUCUCUGUCUUCCUGUGACUGAAUGAAAAGAGAUUGCACAUGGAGCAAGGAAUCAGGUGAUCUGCCUUGCAAAAUCUUCUUCGCCUCAGAGAACAAAAUUCAAGAGCCCAUUUCAUCAGCCUUGCCCCUUGGGUCACUGCUGCAAUCUUCAGCUUUUGUCUUCCUCAGUUCCUGAUCGAGCAGGCCCAGUGCCCAAGAAAAUGAGUCUUGUUACCGUCCGCCAUCUCAUGUUUGCAAGGAAAAAUCUAAGGUGCUUGCAAGGUCUUCUGUGUUUAGGGGCUAUUUCAAACAGCAGAUUUUUUUUUUACCCCUAUCUGCUUCCUAGCACAGUUGUCUGAAGCAAAAUAUCUUCUCUAAUUCUAAUAUUUUCUAUCUUUCUAGCC